rnacentral:rRNA from 1 species
AGCUCCAAUAGCGUAUAUUAAAGUUGCUGCAGUUAAAAAGCUCGUAGUUGCAUUUCCGAGGCAAGGGAUUAGUCCGACCUUUGGUGGGUAUUUAAUCCUCUUGCCUCGUCCUUGAGUGGUGCUUCUUGGUAUUAAGUUAUCGAGGAGAUAGCCGCUCAUCGUUUACUGUGAGAAAAUUAGAGUGUUCAAAGCAGGCUUAUGCCGUUGAAUAUAUUAGCAUGGAAUAAUAAGAUAGGUCCUCGGUACUAUUUUGUUGGUUUGAGAACCAAGGUAAUGAUGAAUAGGGACAGUUGGGGGUAUUCGUAUUCAGUUGUCAGAGGUGAAAUUCUUAGAUUUACGGAAGACGAACUACUGCGAAAGCAUUUUCCAAGGAUGUUUUCA